CCUACGGGUGGCAGCAGUGGGGAAUAUUGCGCAAUGGGCGAAAGCCUGACGCAGCGACGCCGCGUGAGGGAUGAAGGUCUUCGGAUCGUAAACCUCUGUCAGCAGGGAAGAACGGUCACUGUGCUAAUCAGCAGUGAAUUGACGGUACCUGCAAAGGAAGCACCGGCUAACUCCGUGCCAGCAGCCGCGGGAAUACGGAGGGUGCGAGCGUUAAUCGGAAUUACUGGGCGUAAAGCGCUCGUAGGCGGUAUGUCAAGUCAAGGGGGAAAUCCCCGCGGUCAACGUGGGAACUGCCUUUGAAACUGGCAAACUGGAGUGUGUGAGAGGAUAGUGGAAUUCCAGGUGUAGGGGUGAAAUCCGUAGAUAUCUGGAGGAACAUCAGUGGCGAAGGCGACUAUCUGGCACAUAACUGACGCUGAGGAGCGAAAGCGUGGGUAGCGAACAGGAUUAGAUACCCCGGUAGUC
rnacentral:rRNA from 1 species